rfam:Capsicum annuum cultivar Zunla-1 chromosome 5, whole genome shotgun sequence
ACGACCUUACUUGAACAGGAUCUGUUCUAUAGGCUCAUACCACUGUCUCCUUGAGUUCUAAGGAGACCAGAAACCAAGUUUUGUGGAUGAAUCGUGGCUAUGAGACUAGAGUGUGAUUACCAGCCUCCAUGGCCUUUGGCCGGGUCAUGGUGUUGUAGAUGAUCGUUCUCUACCUGGUCCACUGGGCUUGAGAUGUCUUGUGGCUAUCUGACAGACU